AUACGUAGGGUGCAAGCGUUAAUCGGAAUUACUGGGCGUAAAGCGUGCGCAGGCGGUUUUGUAAGACAGGGGUGAAAUCCCCGGGCUCAACCUGGGAACUGCCAUUGUGACUGCAAGGCUGGAGCGCGGCAGAGGGGGAUGGAAUUCCGCGUGUAGCAGUGAAAGGCGUAGAUAUGCGGAGGAACACCGAUGGCGAAGGCAAUCCCCUGGGCCUGCACUGACGCUCAUGCACGAAAGCGUGGGGAGCAAACAGGAUUAGAUACCCUGGUAGUCCACGCCCUAAACGAUGUCAACUGGUUGUUGGGGAUUUAUUUUCUCAGUAACGAAGCUAACGCGUGAAGUUGACCGCCUGGGGAGUACGGCCGCAAGGUUAAAACUCAAAUGAAUUGGCGGGG
rnacentral:rRNA from 1 species